UACGUAGGGUGCGAGCGUUGUCCGGAAUUACUGGGCGUAAAGAGCUUGUAGGCGGUUUGUCGCGUCGUCCGUGAAAACUUGGGGCUCAACCCCAAGCUUGCGGGCGAUACGGGCAGACUUGAGUACUGCAGGGGAGACUGGAAUUCCUGGUGUAGCGGUGAAAUGCGCAGAUAUCAGGAGGAACACCGGUGGCGAAGGCGGGUCUCUGGGCAGUAACUGACGCUGAGAAGCGAAAGCGUGGGUAGCGAACAGGAUUAGAAACCCCCGUAGUCC
rnacentral:rRNA from 1 species